AGUUGUUGCGGUUAAAAAGCUCGUAGUUGGAUUUCUGUUGAGGACGGCCGGUCCGCACUAUGUGCGUGUAUCUGGUUCGGCCUUGGCAUCCUCUUGAGGAACGUUCCUGCGCUUGAUUGCGUGGGGCGGUAUUCAAGACUUUUACUUUGAGGAAAUUAGAGUGUUCACGGCAGGCAAGCGCCUUGAAUACAUUAGCAUGGAAUAAUAAUAUAGGAUCUUGGUUCUAUUUGUUGGUUUCUAGGGCUAAGGUAAUGAUUAAUAGGGAUAAUUGGGGGCAUUUGUAUUAACGCGUCAGAGGUGGAAUUCUUGGAUUGCGUUACGACAAACUACUGCGAAAGCAUUUGCCAAGGAUGUUUUCAUUGAUCAAGAACGAAAGUAUGGGGAUCGAAGAUGAUUAGAUACCGUCGUAGUCUAUACCAUAAACUAUGCCGACUAGGGAUUGGAGGUCGUUCUUUUUAUGACUCCUUCAGCACCUUAUGAGAAAUCAAAGUCUUUGGGUUCCGGGGGGAGUAUAGUCGCAAGGCUGAAACUUAAAGGAAUUGACGGAAGGGCACCACCAGGAGUGGAGCCUGCGGCUUAAUUUGACUCAACACGGGGAAACUCACCAGGUCCAGACAUAGUAAGGAUUGACAGAUUGAUAGCUCUUUCUUGAUUCUAUGGGGUGGUGGUGCAU
rnacentral:rRNA from 1 species